rnacentral:lncRNA from 1 species
UGCCUGUUUAAUAAAGGUAAAAGGAACUUCAACGUAUGCUGAUUUAAGAGGUUAUAUCAGCACGCCAGGCCUGUCUUCCCAGUUUUGUUGGUUUGCCAAGUAAAUUUCUGGGUCUUUUUUGAGUGAACAUUGAGCUUGUAUUCAUCAAAGUAGAAUCAUUUUUCGUAUUGACCGGAACAGAAAACAAGUGUUGCUGCUUCUGCUGUUUCCAUUACCUGACUCUAAUCUCUCUUCAGCACACCCCUCCAGCAUUAUCAGCUAUACAGGAGAGAAAUUGAAAA